rnacentral:rRNA from 1 species
GGAUCAUUACCGAGUUUACAACUCCCAAACCCAAUGUGAACGUUACCAAACUGUUGCCUCGGCGGGAUCUCUGCCCCGGGUGCGUCGCAGCCCCGGACCAAGGCGCCCGCCGGAGGACCAACCAAAACUCUUUUUGUAUACCCCCUCGCGGGUUUUUUUAAUAAUCUGAGCCUUCUCGGCGCCUCUCGUAGGCGUUUCGAAAAUGAAUCAAAACUUUCAACAACGGAUCUCUUGGUUCUGGCAUCGAUGAAGAACGCAGCGAAAUGCGAUAAGUAAUGUGAAUUGCAGAAUUCAGUGAAUCAUCGAAUCUUUGAACGCACAUUGCGCCCGCCAGUAUUCUGGCGGGCAUGCCUGUCCGAGCGUCAUUUCAACCCUCGAACCCCUCCGGGGGGUCGGCGUUGGGGAUCGGCCCUGCCUUGGCGGUGGCCGUCUCCGAAAUACAGUGGCGGUCUCGCCGCAGCCUCUCCUGCGCAGUAGUUUGCACACUCGCAUCGGGAGCGCGGCGCGUCCACAGCCGUUAAACACCCAACUUCUGAAAUGUUGACCUCGGAUCAGGUAGGAAUACCCGCUGAACUUAAGCAUAU